GACGAACGCUGGCGGCGUGCUUAACACAUGCAAGUCGAACGGAAAGGCCCUGCUUUUGUGGGGUGCUCGAGUGGCGAACGGGUGAGUAACACGUGAGUAACCUGCCCUUGACUUGGGGAUAACUUCAGGAAACUGGGGCUAAUACCGGAUAGGAGCUCCUGCUGCAUGGUGGGGGUUGGAAAGUUUCGGCGGUUGGGGAUGGACUCGCGGCUUAUCAGCUUGUUGGUGGGGUAGUGGCUUACCAAGGCUUUGACGGGUAGCCGGCCUGAGAGGGUGACCGGCCACAUUGGGACUGAGAUACGGCCCAGACUCCUACGGGAGGCAGCAGUGGGGAAUAUUGCACAAUGGGCGGAAGCCUGAUGCAGCAACGCCGCGUGCGGGAUGACGGCCUUCGGGUUGUAAACCGCUUUCGCCUGUGACGAAGCGUGAGUGACGGUAAUGGGGAAAGAAGCACCGGCUAACUACGU
rnacentral:rRNA from 1 species